GGCGGACGGGUGAGUAAUGUCUGGGAAACUGCCUGAUGGAGGGGGAUAACUACUGGAAACGGUAGCUAAUACCGCAUAACGUCGCAAGACCAAAGAGGGGGACCUUCGGGCCUCUUGCCAUCGGAUGUGCCCAGAUGGGAUUAGCUAGUAGGUGGGGUAACGGCUCACCUAGGCGACGAUCCCUAGCUGGUCUGAGAGGGUGAUCGGCCACAUUGGGACUGAGACACGGCCCAGACUCCUACGGGAGGCAGCAUG
rnacentral:rRNA from 1 species